UCAUUGGUUCAUGCUGUGAAGGGGUUGGAGUGUAGUGGAUUUCCUAGGUCACAGUCUGAACCAAUGGG
ensembl:miRNA MIR12271 microRNA mir-12271